AUAUUUCUGGUUUAACCUGCCCAAUGUGAAAAUCAAUGGCCGCGGUACCCUGACCGUGCUAAGGUAGCGUAAUCAUUUGACUUUUAAAUGGAGUCAGGUAUGAAUGGAAGAACCGGGUUUAGCUGUCUCUAAAUUAAUUAAUUGAAUUUACUGUUUAAGUGAAAAAGCUUAAUUUAGGUAAAGGGACGAGAAGACCCUUAGAAUUUUUUUUAAUGAGUGAGUUUACUAUGUGAUUUUGUUGGGGCGACAAAGAGAUAAAUAAAAACUUUCUUUUCUAAACAAGACGAAUUUUUUAUUAAGAAAGACUAAAUUACCUGAGGGAUAACAGCAUAAUUCUACAGUUGAGUUUGUGACCUCGAUGUUGGAUUAGGGAACUAGCAGGCUAGCCGUUUGUUGUGUGGGUUCUGUUCGAACUUUAAUCCCU
rnacentral:rRNA from 1 species